ensembl:misc_RNA Metazoa_SRP Metazoan signal recognition particle RNA
GCCGGGUGCGGUGGCGCGCGCCUGUAAUCCACGUCACUGGGAGGCUGAGGCUGGUGGAGCUCUUGAGCUCGGGGGUUCUACACUACCGUGGGCUUUGUUGAUCGGGUGUCCGCACUAAGGUCGGUGUCGAUAUGGUGUUCCUAAGGGAGCUCGGGAAUACCAGGUCGUCUAAGGAGGGGUGAACCGGCCCAGGUCGGGAACGAAGCAGGUAAAAGCCCCCGUACCGAUUAGUAGUGGGAUAGCACCUGUGAAUAGACGCGGUAGUGCAGCCUGGGUGAUACGGUGUGACCCAGUCUUUU